AACGAACGCUGGCGGCAUGCCUAACACAUGCAAGUCGAACGAGAUCUUCGGGUCUAGUGGCGCACGGGUGCGUAACGCGUGGGAAUCUGCCCUUUGGUUCGGAAUAACAGUUGGAAACGACUGCUAAUACCGGAUGAUGACGAAAGUCCAAAGAUUUAUCGCCAGAGGAUGAGCCCGCGUAGGAUUAGCUAGUUGGUGUGGUAAAGGCGCACCAAGGCGACGAUCCUUAGCUGGUCUGAGAGGAUGAUCAGCAACACUGGGACUGAGACACGGCCAAGACUCCUACGGGAGGAAGAGGUGGGGAAUAUUGGACAAGGGGCGAAAGCCUGAUCCAACAAUGCCGCGUGAGUGAUGAAGGCCUUAGGGUUGUAAAGCUUUUUUACCCGGGAUGAUAAUGACAGUACCGGGAGAAUAAGCUCCGGCUAACUCCGUGCCAGCCGCCGCCGUAA
rnacentral:rRNA from 1 species